AUUGAACGCUGGCGGCAGGCCUACCACAUGCAAGUCGAGCGGAACGGCGAACGUGUAAGUACUGCCUAGUAAUCUGCCUGGUAGUGGGGUAUAACUUAGGGAAACGGGCGCUCCUACAGCAUACUAUCCGAUGAACCUAGGUCGGAGUAGCUAGUUGGUGGGGUAAAGGCCUACCAGGGCGACGAUCCGGCACUGGUCGAAGAGUAUGAUCAGUAACACUGGAACUGAGAAACGGCCCAGACUCCUACGGGAGGCAGCAGUGGGGAAUAUUGGACAAUGGGCGAAAGCCUGAUCAAGCAAUGCCGCGUGUGUGAAGAAGGUCGUCGGAUUGUAAAGCACUUUAAGUUGGGAGGCGUUAUCAACAGAAUAAGCACCGGCUAACUUCGUGCCAGCAGCCGCGGUAAUAC
rnacentral:rRNA from 1 species